UACGGGGGGAGCAAGCGUUGUUCGGAUUUACUGGGCGUAAAGGGCGCGUAGGCGGCACUGUUAGUCAGGCGUGAAAUUCCUGGGCUCAACCUGGGGACUGCGCUUGAUACGGCAGAGCUUGAGGAUGGAAGAGGGUCGCGGAAUUCCCAGUGUAGAGGUGAAAUUCGUAGAUAUUGGGAAGAACACCGGUGGCGAAGGCGGCGACCUGGUCCAUUACUGACGCUGAGGCGCGACAGCGUGGGGAGCAAACAGG
rnacentral:rRNA from 1 species